CGUAACAAGGUCUCCGUUGGUGAACCAGCGGAGGGAUCAUUACCGAGUUUACAACUCCCAAACCCCUGUGAACAUACCUUAAUGUUGCCUCGGCGGAUCAGCCCGCGCCCCGUAAAACGGGACGGCCCGCCAGAGGACCCAAACUCUAAUGUUUCUUAUUGUAACUUCUGAGUAAAACAAACAAAUAAAUCAAAACUUUCAACAACGGAUCUCUUGGUUCUGGCAUCGAUGAAGAACGCAGCAAAAUGCGAUAAGUAAUGUGAAUUGCAGAAUUCAGUGAAUCAUCGAAUCUUUGAACGCACAUUGCGCCCGCUGGUAUUCCGGCGGGCAUGCCUGUUCGAGCGUCAUUUCAACCCUCAAGCCCCCGGGUUUGGUGUUGGGGAUCGGCUCUGCCUUCUGGCGGUGCCGCCCCCGAAAUACAUUGGCGGUCUCGCUGCAGCCUCCAUUGCGUAGUAGCUAACACCUCGCAACUGGAACGCGGCGCGGCCAUGCCGUAAAACCCCAACUUCUGAAUGUGACCUCGGAUCAGGUG
rnacentral:rRNA from 1 species